rnacentral:rRNA from 1 species
CGAUUGUGGCGGCAGCUAACACAUGCAAGUCGAGCGGAUGAAGGGAGCUUGCUCCCUGAUUUAGCGGCGGACGGGUGAGUAAUGCCUAGGAAUCUGCCUGGUAGUGGGGGAUAACGUUCCGAAAGGAACGCUAAUACCGCAUACGUCCUACGGGAGAAAGCAGGGGACCUUCGGGCCUUGCGCUAUCAGAUGAGCCUAGGUCGGAUUAGCUAGUUGGUGAGGUAAUGGCUCACCAAGGCGACGAUCCGUAACUGGUCUGAGAGGAUGAUCAGUCACACUGGAACUGAGACACGGCCCAGACUCCUACGGGAGGCAGCAGUGGGGAAUAUUGGACAAUGGGCGAAAGCCUGAUCCAGCCAUGCCGCGUGUGUGAAGAAGGUCUUCGGAUUGUAAAGCACUUUAAGUUGGGAGGAAGGGCAUUAACCUAAUACGUUAGUGUUUUGACGUUACCGACAGAAUAAGCACCGGCUAACUUCGUGCCAGCAGCCGCGGUAAUACGAAGGGUGCAAGCGUUAAUCGGAAUUACUGGGCGUAAAGCGCGCGUAGGUGGUUCGUUAAGUUGGAUGUGAAAGCCCCGGGCUCAACCUGGGAACUGCAUCCAAAACUGGCGAGCUAGAGUACGGUAGAGGGUGGAGGAAUUUCCUGUGUAGCGGUGAAAUGCGUAGAUAUAGGAAGGAACACCAGUGGCGAAGGCGACCACCUGGACUGAUACUGACACUGAGGUGCGAAAGCGUGGGGAGCAAACAGGAUUAGAUACCCUGGUAGUCCACGCCGUAAACGAUGUCAACUAGCCGUUGGGUUCCUUGAGAACUUAGUGGCGCAGCUAACGCAUUAAGUUGACCGCCUGGGGAGUACGGCCGCAAGGUUAAAACUCAAAUGAAUUGACGGGGGCCCGCACAAGCGGUGGGAGCAUGUGGUUUAUUCGAAGCAACGCUAAGAACCUUACCUGGCCUUGACAUGCUGAGAACUUUCCAAAGAUGGAUUGGUGCCUUCGGGAACUCAGACACAAGGUGCUGCAUGGCUUGUCGUCAG